rnacentral:rRNA from 1 species
CCUACGGGAGGCAGCAGUCGAGAAUCAUUCACAAUGGGGGAAACCCUGAUGGUGCGACGCCGCGUGGGGGAAUGAAGGUCUUCGGAUUGUAAACCCCUGUCAUGUGGGAGCAAAUUAAAAAGAUAGUACCACAAGAGGAAGAGACGGCUAACUCUGUGCCAGCAGCGGCGGUAAUACAGGGGUCUCAAGCGUUGUUCGGAAUCACUGGGCGUAAGGCGUGCGUAGGCUGUUUCGUAAGUCGUGUGUGAAAGGCGCGGGCUCAACCCGCGGACGGCACAUGAUACUGCGAGACUAGAGUAAUGGAGGGGGAACCGGAAUUCUCGGUGUAGCAGUGAAAUGCGUAGAUAUCGAGAGGAACACUCGUGGCGAAGGCGGGUUCCUGGACAUUAACUGACGCUGAGGCACGAAGGCCAGGGGAGCGAAAGGGAUUAGAUACCCUUGUAGUC